rnacentral:rRNA from 1 species
UACGUAGGGUGCAAGCGUUGUCCGGAAUUAUUGGGCGUAAAGAGCUCGUAGGCGGUUUGUUGCGUCGGCUGUGAAAUCCCGAGGCUCAACCUCGGGUCUGCAGUCGAUACGAGCAAACUAGAGUGUUGCAGGGGAGACUGGAAUUCCUGGUGUAGCGGUGAAAUGCGCAGAUAUCAGGAGGAACACCGAUGGCGAAGGCGGGUCUCUGGGCAACAACUGACGCUGGAGGAGCG